rnacentral:rRNA from 1 species
AUUGAACGCUGGCGGCAUGCCUUACACAUGCAAGUCGAACGGCAGCACGGGAGCAAUCCUGGUGGCGAGUGGCGAACGGGUGAGUAAUAUAUCGGAACGUGCCCAGUCGUGGGGGAUAACGUAGCGAAAGCUACGCUAAUACCGCAUACGAUCUACGGAUGAAAGCGGGGGAUCGCAAGACCUCGCGCGAUUGGAGCGGCCGAUAUCAGAUUAGGUAGUUGGUGAGGUAAAGGCUCACCAAGCCGACGAUCUGUAGCUGGUCUGAGAGGACGACCAGCCACACUGGGACUGAGACACGGCCCAGACUCCUACGGGAGUCAGCAGUGGGGAAUUUUGGACAAUGGGCGCAAGCCUGAUCCAGCAAUGCCGCGUGCAGGAUGAAGGCCUUCGGGUUGUAAACUGCUUUUGUACGGAACGAAACGGUGAGCUCUAAUACAGUUUGCUAAUGACGGUACCGUAAGAAUAAGCACCGGCUAACUACGUGCCAGCCGCCGCCGUAA